GAUGAACGCUGGCGGCGUGCCUAACACAUGCAAGUCGAACGGAGAUGAAACGCUGUCGAGACUUCGGUCAAAACUUGUUUUAUCUUAGUGGCGGACGGGUGAGUAACGCGUGGAGAACCUGCCUCGUACUGGGGGAUAACAGUUGGAAACGACUGAUAAUACCGCAUAAGCCCACGAGACCGCAUGGUCAUGAGGGAAAAGAUUUAUCGGUACGAGAUGGAUCCGCGUCUGAUUAGCCAGUUGGCGGGGUAACGGCCCACCAAAGCGACGAUCAGUAGCCGGCCUGAGAGGGCGGACGGCCACAUUGGGACUGAGACACGGCCCAAACUCC
rnacentral:rRNA from 1 species